UACGUAGGGGGCCAGCGUUGUCCGGAAUCAUUGGGCGUAAAGCGCGCGUAGGCGGUCAGGUAAGUCCGGUGUGAAAGUCAAAGGCCCAACCUUUGAAUGCCGCUGGAUACUGCUUGACUUGAGUCCGGAAGGGGCGAGUGGAAUUCCUGGUGUAGCGGUGAAAUGCGCAGAUAUCAGGAGGAACACCAAUGGCGAAGGCAGCUCGCUGGAACGGUACUGACGCUGAGGCGCGAAAGCGUGGGGAGCGAACAGG
rnacentral:rRNA from 1 species